rnacentral:rRNA from 1 species
CGAACGGGUGAGUAACGCGUAGGUAACCUGCCUGGUAGCGGGGGAUAACUAUUGGAAACGAUAGCUAAUACCGCAUAAAAUUGAUUAUUGCAUGAUAAUUAAUUGAAAGAUGCAACUGCAUCACUACCAGAUGGACCUGCGUUGUAUUAGCUAGUUGGUGAGGUAACGGCUCACCAAGGCGACGAUACAUAGCCGACCUGAGAGGGUGAUCGGCCACACUGGGACUGAGACACGGCCCAGACUCCUACGGGAGGCAGCAGUAGGGAAUCUUCGGCAAUGGGGGGAACCCUGACCGAGCAACGCCGCGUGAGUGAAGAAGGUUUUCGGAUCGUAAAGCUCUGUUGUAAGAGAAGAACGGGUGUGAGAGUGGAAAGUUCACACUGUGACGGUAUCUUACCAGAAAGGGACGGCUAACUACGUGCCAGCAGCCGCGGUAAUACGUAGGUCCCGAGCGUUGUCCGGAUUUAUUGGGCGUAAAGCGAGCGCAGGCGGUUAGAUAAGUCUGAAGUUAAAGGCUGUGGCUUAACCAUAGUAUGCUUUGGAAACUGUU